CCCUUAGAUGUUCUGGGCCGCACGCGCGCUACACUGACGACUUCAACGAGUUUUUUUCAUUUGAAAAAGUCCUUGGCCGGAAGGUCUGGGUAAUCUUUUAAAAGGUCGUCGUGAUGGGGCUAGAUUCUUGCAAUUAUUAAUCUCCAACGAGGAAUUCCUAGUAAACGCAAGUCAUCAACUUGCAUUGAUUACGUCCCUGCCCUUUGUACACACCGCCCGUCGCUCCUACCGAUUGAAUGUUCCGGUGAGCUCUUCGGACUGCGCGGUCUGCAGUUUCUGCGUUCCGUGCGGAAAGUUGCGCAAACCUUAACAUUUAGAGGAAGGAGAAGUCGUAACA
rnacentral:rRNA from 1 species